UUCCUCUUCUACCUCUAAGUUAGUGAAUGAACUAAGAGAGUGAAGAAGAACUAAAAAUUAAAAUAUCAAAGCCAAAAUGUCUAUGAAGAAAAAUUGAAAUUUGGACAGCAACAAUAGACACGUAGAUAGAUGGGAGAGACUCUGGAAAAGCUGUAAGAAUCAAAGCAGAGGAAAAGUUGACAACUUCAAGGACAGAAACAUUCUGGAAAGGUUGAGAUGCCUCAGAAAGUGAUAACAUAUUCAUCACAAGCUCUCUACAUGGUUUGACCUGCACUUCUGAGAUUUUCCCAGGGACAGAAAGCCAACCAGUGAUGGAAACCUCAUUAAUGACCUAACUCACUUUGCUUUGUGAAGAAAUCCUAACCUCCUAGCAGAAAUGAUCUCCACCCUUGGACAGAAAUAUUAUGUGCAAACACAGCUCAGUAGUUUCUCCUUCCUCCUGCUCUUCCCUGUCCUCUUGAGGCUGUUUCUUCCUGCAGACUUCUACCCUGAUGGCAGGAUAAAGUCUCUGUUUAGAGUGAUAAAUCAUAGCGUUCAAAGUCUAAUGGUAAGAGAAGUUGCCCAUCAUAAACUCUGACAACAGGUCAAGGACUCCAGAAAAUAAAGUGGUAAGAAGCUCCCUCUUCUCUUGCUAUGCUUCUCCCCAAUCUGGGCUUUCAAACAGGACAGCUACUGAAGGUCAUGUUAUUAGUAAGAUUGAUACAUUGCUCAAAUCUGAAAGGGUGGUACAUAAGGAAUUGGAAUAAACAAAAGGGAGUAAAACCUCA